GAAAAGAAGCCCUCACUGGCGGGUAGAGGAGAUGUCGGCAAUUCAGAUUCUUCAAGUCUAAAGGUAGUUCCGCUUUCAAAAAACUGAUGAAUAAUCGACAUUAUUUUUCAUGUUUAUGUUGUAAUUCAUCGCAUUUCUUUUUUACUUGAAAAUCUCUUUGUUUUUUACUUGUUAUAUAGUCAACUGAUGGUAAAAUUUACCGAAUUUGUUUGCUUUCUGAAAUCAUUUAGCUAAUUGCUUUACUGGAUUAAUUAGUUUUGCUAGUAAUUGUAUUGUUAAUUAGUUUUUGCUCUUCGUGUAUAUUAUUGUACUAAAUAUUUUACUGAAGAUUUUGAUUAUAAGAAAUCAGGUUAAUGAAAGGCUGAAAGGGGGGGGGGGGGUAUUCUCCUGUGUCUUUAGGAUGUGCGGUUACAUUAGUGUAUGGAGUAAGAUUUCGUAAAAUAGGUUUGUUGAUCAAACAAAGCGAAAGAGUAUGUUAAAAAAUAUAACAUUUCUGAGGAAAGAACAUGAGAAAGUGUAAUAUUUUUGUGUUUACUGUUUCUGAGUGGAAGAAGGUUUAUAGAUGUAUUUUGAGUAAGUCAGUCUUAUAAUUGUGAAAUUGAUUCUUUUGAUUUUAUUGAAUUGGUUUAACUGUUUUUAUCCUAAUUUUUUGUUUUAGUUUUUCCAGGUUGCGUAUAUUUAUCUGGUUGAAUGUUCAUCAGAUAAAAAAGUGCAUCCCUUAUUUUUUUAUUUUCGUUCGUUUUGAUUAUUUUGGAUAUAGUUGCUCUACAGAAAAUUUUGGAUGGUGAUUGAUCCAAGUGGCUUUUGAGUUUCAAGACAACUUUGAGAUACAAAGUUUUGGACAUUGUCAGACAUGGAGCCUUUAUGGAAACUUGUUUAUUUGCUGGAACC
rnacentral:lncRNA from 1 species